rnacentral:rRNA from 1 species
AGAGUUUGAUCCUGGCUCAGGACGAACGCUGGCGGCGUGCUUAACACAUGCAAGUCGAACGGCGCUCAACCAGUGGCAACACUGGGGAAAGUGCAGUGGCGAACGGGUGAGUAACACGUGAGCAACCUGCCUCGAAGACUGGGAUAACAGCGGGAAACCGUUGCUAAUACUGGAUAUCCCCAUUGGGCCGCAUGACCCGAUGAGGAAAUGAAUUUCGCUUCGAGAGGGGCUCGCGGGCUAUCAGCUAGUUGGUGAGGUAACGGCCCACCAAGGCUACGACGGCUAGCUGGUCUGAGAGGACGACCAGCCACACUGGGACUGAGACACGGCCCAGACUCCUACGGGAGGCAGCAGUGGGGAAUCUUGCGCAAUGGGCGAAAGCCUGACGCAGCAACGCCGCGUGCGGGAUGACGGCCUUCGGGUUGUAAACCGCUUUCAGCAGGGACGAAAUUGACGGUACCUGCAGAAGAAGCUCCGGCCAACUACGUGCCAGCAGCCGCGGUAAUACGUAAGGAGCGAGCGUUGUCCGGAUUCAUUGGGCGUAAAGCGCUUUAAGGCGGUUCGCUAAGUCGCGUGUGAAACCUCCAGGCUCAACCUGGAGACGCCACGCGAUACUGGCGUGACUAGAGUUCGGUAGGGGAUCACGGAAUUCCUGGUGUAGCGGUGAAAUGCGCAGAUAUCAGGAGGAACACCGGUGGCGAAGGCGGUGAUCUGGGCCGACACUGACGCUGUAGAGCGAAAGCGUGGGGAGCGAACAGGAUUAGAUACCCUAGUAGUCC